UCCUUUGGAUCAGUGUCGUGCGCUCAAGGGAUUCAAUCUAGAAUCUUCUCACCUACAGUACAACCUAUGGAUGCCCGAGAUCGGUCGGGGCAUAACUAUGCUCAUCAGGGACCCUAUAUGGCAGGAUUAAUAUCUUUUCUUGAUUUCUUUUGUUGCUGCUCUGCCACAAUCUCCUGUUCAAGGAAGUACCUUGCCAAGCUAGCAUGUCCUGGCCGUUGUAGGUAAGAGAAUUGACUUCUGAUGAACUUUCUUCUUCUUAUCCUCUUUCAGUUAGAUAGUUAUAUUGUGAAACACUUGACAACGAAGCUCUCUGUCAACAAUUAGAGUAUUGACGGUUUCUGUCGUAAAUCUGAAUGUUUUUGCGGGCAAUUGGUUUGUAAAAGCAAUGGCACGUGACAACUACUAAAGCAUUGAGUGUCGUUGCUGUUGCACUUUCUAUAAGUAUGGGAAUUGAUUUUCUGUCAAUUGUGUGUUACAACUGACAACUACUAAAUUUCAAUGCCC